rnacentral:rRNA from 1 species
UACGAAGGGGGCUAGCGUUGCUCGGAAUUGACUGGGCGUAAAGGGCGCGUAGGCGGCACUGUUAGUCAGGCGUGAAAGUCCUGGGCUCAACCUGGGAACUGCGCUUGAUACGGCAGAGCUAGAGGAUGGAAGAGGCUCGCGGAAUUCCCAGUGUAGAGGUGAAAUUCGUAGAUAUUGGGAAGAACACCGGUGGCGAAGGCGGCGAGCUGGUCCAUUACUGACGCUGAGGCGCGACAGCGUGGGGAGCAAACAGG